AAGAUCCCCGAGGCCCAGGCCUCGCGCCGCCCCGCGGCCCUCUCCUACUGGCCGCCUCCUCCUGGAGUUGUUUUGCUGACGGAGAUGCCACCCUCCGAUUUUCCUCUCUCCAUCGGGCCUGUCCUUACCCGCCGGCAGCGGGGCUUCGGCGACGUCGCCGGCAGGGCCAAGCUCGGCCGCUCCGCCGCCCGCGGGGGAGGAGGGACAACUGUGGCUGUGGGAGCACUUGAUGUCGCGGAAGAACUUCUGGGUCUCUCGCAGGUUCUGCCGCAGCCGUCCCAGGUAGCGGCGGUAGCGGCUGAAGCCCCGGCACAGCUCGCGGAUCAUUCCGCCGCCUCCGGGACCCGGGCCCGACACGGACUCGCCGGCCCAUGACUGCCCGUCGGCCUCCAUCGCUCAGCCAGCUGUCUUCGCGGCUGGCUGAGCCGCUGGCCCGGCCCCCUCCUCCCGCCCCCUAGCGCUCAGAGAAGGCGGAAUCCGCCUCCCGACGCCCCUGCCGGCGCUCCGCGCGGCCUCCAGCCUCCGUCACUGCCGCGGCUGAGCAGCCAGAGCGCCUGGCUCCGGCCAGAACCUUACUCCGCUCCCCAGCGGAGCCAGGGACGAGCUCACAGAGGCACCGUCGCUGCGCGGGCUCCUGGGACUUGUAGUCUGGGCUGGGUGGAAUGCCACAACGCCCACAGGGAAGCAAGCUAGCGGGUGGACCCUACUGAUCCCUGUGCUUACACUCUUCUCGUUUAAAAGGUGUUCUUGCACUGUACACGAAUUCCUAAGGAAAGGCAGAACCCGCAGAGUAUGAACCCCGGCAGAAAUGGGGUACCUCAAAUCUAGGAGAAAGAAAGAUUUUAAUAAGUAGAAGGAAAUAAGGCCGAGGACAAAAUAUGUCUGUGGUUACCCCAAAUGGUUACAACAGAUAAUAGAGAAUUGGUUGAAAAUACCCGGAGAAUAGUGAAAACUCUACUGUUUGUGUUACAGUCUACUUUUUCUUUUCUUUUCUUUCUUUCUUUCUUUCUUUCUUUCUUUUUUUUUUUUCCUGCUCUAGAUGUGGAAAGGGGGUAGGGGUGUGAAAGGGUGGGUGAGACCUAAGAGAAAGGACAGUUGAUUUCUUGUACAGUCGGCAGGGGUAAGGGGAAGUUGAAGUUAGUAGCCUUCUAAACUGAUUAUCUUAACAAGGCUUCUGUCAGUGUGCCAGACUUCCAUCGACGCAGACUGUCACGGACUCCAUGACACACAAGCCACAAACGGGACAGAACUUGACACCAGUCACCUCUUCACCUGAUUGAACUUUGAGUAACUUGGGCUCAAUGUGAAAUGUGAAGGCUUUAACCUGUAACUUGUUGCACUUUUUAAAAGAUCACGCAUUCAAAUGAGCCUGCACUUUAAGGUAGGCUAGCUGCAAAAAAGGAGCCCUGUGUUCCUUCCCAUUUACGCCUCCCUUUGCACAUUCUGGCCAUUUCUCUUCUUUGCAAAGUUGUAUUCCCCUUGCUUUCCAAAAGGCUUGGUAAAACAGAAGUGAGAACACAAAUGGAAAUUAAAAAAAAAAAAAAG
rnacentral:lncRNA from 1 species